AAUUCGAUUUUGAUCAUGGCUCAGGACGAACGCUGGCGGCGUGCUUAACACAUGCAAGUCGAGCGGAAAGGCCCUUUUGGGGGUACUCGAGCGGCGAACGGGUGAGUAACACGUGAGUAAUCUGCCCUUCACUCUGGGAUAACUGCCUGAAAGGGUGGCUAAUACCGGAUAUUCUCCGACUGCUGCAUGGUGGUUGGUGGGAAGAUUUUUUGGUGGGGGAUGUGCUCGCGGCCUAUCAGCUUGUUGGUGGGGUAAUGGCCUACCAAGGCUUUGACGGGUAGCCGGCCUGAGAGGGUGACCGGCCACACUGGGACUGAGACACGGCCCAGACUCCUACGGGAGGCAGCAGUGGGGAAUAUUGGACAAUGGGCGGAAGCCUGAUCCAGCAACGCCGCGUGAGGGAUGACGGCCUUCGGGUUGUAAACCUCUUUCAGCACAGACGAAGCGCCUGUAGAGGGUGGUGACGGUAUGUGCAGAAGAAGCACCGGCCAACUACGUGCCAGCAGCCGCGGUAAUACGUAGGGUGCGAGCGUUGUCCGGAAUUAUUGGGCGUAAAGGGCUCGUAGGCGGUUUGUCGCGUCGGGAGUGAAAUCCACUGGCUUAACUGGUGGCUUGCUUUCGAUACGGGCAGACUGGAGGUAUGCAGGGGAGAACGGAAUUCCUGGUGUAGCGGUGAAAUGCGCAGAUAUCAGGAGGAAC
rnacentral:rRNA from 1 species